GAGUUUGAUCCUGGCUCAGGGUGAACGCUAGCGGUGCGCCUAACACAUGCAAGUCGAGCGGUAGAAUUGAAUAGCUUGCUAUUUAAUUUGAGAGCGGCGAACGGGUGAGUAACAUGUUGAUAUCUGCCCCCAAGUCAGGGAUAGCCAUUGGAAACGAUGAUUAAUACCGGAUAGUCUCUACGGAGUAAAAAUUUAUUGCUUGGGGAGGAGUCUACAUUCUAUCAGUUAGUUGGCGAGGUAAAAGCUCACCAAGUCUAUGACGGAUAGCUGGUCUGAGAGGAUGAUCAGCCACAAUGAAACUGAGACACGGUUCAUACUCCUACGGGAGGCAGCAGUGAGGAAUCUUCCACAAUGGACGAAAGUCUGAUGGAGCGACACCGCGUGAAGGAUGAAGGCCUAACGGUUGUAAACUUCUUUUCUGAAGGAGCAUAAUGAGAGUACUUCAGGAAUAAGGGACGGCUAAUUACGUGCCAGCAGCCGCGGUAAUACGUAAGUCCCGAGUGUUACCCGGAAUCAUUGGGUGUAAAGGGUUCGUAGGCGGAUAAUUAAGUUGGGUAUUAAAGACCGAGGCUCAACCUCGUGUUUGUGCCCAAAACUGGUUAUCUAGAAUUAGGGAGAGGUAAGUGGAAUUCUGUGUGUAGGGGUGCAAUCCGUAGAUACACAGAGGAACACCAAAAGCGAAGGCAACUUACGGGAACUAUAUUGACGCUGAUGAACGAAAGCGUGGGUAGCGAAAAGGAUUAGAUACCCUUGUAGUCCACGCCCUAAACGAUGAUAACUAGGUGUUGGGACUAGAUCUCAGUGCUGAAGCUAACGCAUUAAGUUAUCCACCUGAGGAGUACGGUCGCAAGAUUAAAACUCAAAGGAAUAGACGGGGACCCACACAAGCAGUGGAUCACGUGGUUUAAUUCGAUGAHAARCGGAGAACCUUACCCAGACUUGACAUCCUAAGAAUUCCACAGAGAUGAGGAAGUGCCUUUAUUGGAGCUUAGUGACAGGUGCUGCAUGGUUGUCGUCAGCUCGUGCCUUGAGGUGUUCGGUUAAGUCCGUUAACGAGCGCAACCCAUGUCUCUAGUUAUUAUGUCUAGAGAGACUGCCUUGGUUAACAAGGAGGAAGGUGUGGAUGACGUCAAAUCAGCAUGGCUUUUACGUCUGGGGCUACACACAUGAUACAAUGGCAUGUACAAAGGGUAGCAAUACAAGUGAUGUUGAGAUAAUCCUAAAAGCAUAUCUUAGUCCGGAUUGGAGUCUGCAACUCGACUCCAUGAAGUUGGAAUUGCUAGUAAUCGUGAAUCAGAUAUGUCACGGUGAAUAUGUUCCUGGGUCUUGUACUCACCGCCCGUCACGGCAUGGGAGGUAGUAAUAUCGGAAGCUCCAUCGGUAAUAG
rnacentral:rRNA from 1 species